rnacentral:rRNA from 1 species
CAGUAGCCACGGGAAUACAGAGGGUGCGAGCGUUAAUCGGAUUUACUGGGCGUAAAGCGUGCGUAGGCGGCUUCUUAAGUCGGAUGUUAAAUCCCUGAGCUUAACUUAGGAAUUGCAUUCGAUACUGGGAAGCUAGAGUAUGGGAGAGGAUGGUAGAAUUCCAGGUGUAGCGGUGAAAUGCGUAGAGAUCUGGAGGAAUACCGAUGGCGAAGGCAGCCAUCUGGCCUAAUACUGACGCUGAGGCGCGAAAGCGUGGGGAGCAAACAGGAUUAGAUACCCCUGUAGUCCCUGUCUCUUAUAC